UGCAGUCGAACGAUGAACCACUUCGGUGGGGAUUAGUGGCGAACGGGUGAGUAACACGUGGGCAAUCUGCCCUUCACUCUGGGACAAGCCCUGGAAACGGGGUCUAAUACCGGAUAUGAGCCUGGGAGGCAUCUCCUGGGUUGUAAAGCUCCGGCGGUGAAGGAUGAGCCCGCGGCCUAUCAGCUUGUUGGUGAGGUAAUGGCUCACCAAGGCGACGACGGGUAGCCGGCCUGAGAGGGCGACCGGCCACACUGGGACUGAGACACGGCCCAGACUCCUACGGGAGGCAGCAGUGGGGAAUAUUGCACAAUGGGCGAAAGCCUGAUGCAGCGACGCCGCGUGAGGGAUGACGGCCUUCGGGUUGUAAACCUCUUUCAGCAGGGAAGAAGCGAAAGUGACGGUACCUGCAGAAGAAGCGCCGGCUAACUACGUGCCAGCAGCCGCGGUAAUACGUAGGGCGCAAGCGUUGUCCGGAAUUAUUGGGCGUAAAGAGCUCGUAGGCGGCUUGUCACGUCGAUUGUGAAAGCCCGAGGCUUAACCUCGGGUCUGCAGUCGAUACGGGCUAGCUAGAGUGUGGUAGGGGAGAUCGGAAUUCUGGUGUAGCGGUGAAAUGCGCAGAUAUCAGGAGGAACACCGGUGGCGAAGGCGGAUCUCUGGGCCAUUACUGACGCUGAGGAGCGAAAGCGUGGGGAGCGAACAGGAUUAGAUACCCUGGUAGUCCACGCGUAAACGGUGGGAACUAGGUGUGCGACAUUCCACGUCGUCGGUGCGCAGCUAACGCAUUAAGUCCCC
rnacentral:rRNA from 1 species